GGUUGGGGCAAGUAUGGACACAACAUUCAAGCUGGAUUUAGCUCUAAAUUUGGAUUGUGAUUAAAUAGUUGACACAGCAUAGGUUUCUGACACAGAAUGAAUGUGUUCUUAUGAAAUUAAAAUUUUUGUUUUCUCUUAGAGCAAUUCACUAUGCUGUUGAAUAUUAUUCCUCUCAAAAAAAUGUUUGAAGAAAUUUUCUUUUUAUUUAUGAAAUUUCAAAUGAGAAAAUUGAACCCAAUUUUUUUAAUCACAUCCCCCUUUCCCUUAUUCCAAAACUUAUCUCAAUUAAAAUUUCUAAUGGAGUUUGCAACAAUUACUACUCAUUUAAAUACAUCAUAAAAUAUUAAGAUGUAAAAAAAACU
rnacentral:lncRNA from 1 species